ACCUGUCAAGAUUCAUUAAUCCCAUAAAUAAUCGUGGUUUUAAUCUAUUUUCGUAAUAAUAAUCCGCGUAAGUAACGAUUUAAGUUAAACAAUGAGUUGAUUUGUGAAUUAAAAUUUAUCAUUUUUUUAAAGUGAAGGCUUUAAUUUAUGAGGAAAACCUCGAAAAUAAGUUUAUAGUCCAUCUCGUGGAGGUUGAGGUUUUUAGAAGGAUGUAUUAAAAUGAAGACUUUAAUUUAUGAGGAAAGAGUCGAAAAUAAGUUUAGAAACGACCUGAAGAAAGUUAGUAAGGAAGUUAAAAGUAAAGCGUGGAGCUUUUAUUACUAGCUUCUUUAUUACAUGCUGUUUCUAGGAAUUUUAUUGGUUAAAUCAUAAGAUAAAAAGUGGGUCAACAAAAUACAUUUACAGCGUUAAAUUGGGUCUCCGUUGCAUCUUCUCGGACGAGUAAACGAGACGGGGAGCGUCGUUUAGUAGACGCCCCGAUAGGUGGAGCUCUCCGCCGGGCGUCGUGCUAAUAAACAUUUCUGCACGGCAACUGAUAACGCGCCCAUUGAUGAAUAUAAAUAAGGACGGCCGCUUAUCGCCGCCGCCAGCCGUACAUUGCGGCGACGGUGGCGGUCUCGGGAUAUUUAGAUAUUCUAAUAGUGGCGUCGACGCUGAUAACGCGUCGCCUCCGACGCCGCUACCGACGCUGGUCCGCAUAGAUAAGACGCGGGCGUCGGAGGUCCGCGACUGAUAAAGACGACGUCGCGACGCCGCACUGUUUCUCUGGGGCGACGAUAAAGGAGACGCCCGAUAUCGGCCUCCGACCAGAAAUAAUAACGCUCGACUCGCCACUUCGGAGACCUCAGCCGGAACUCGCCUAUUCAAGCAGAAAUUGGAUUGAACCAAGCAAAUUAUUACGAUAAUCGAAUUUGUCAAGAAAUAACGACUUGGAAAAUAAAAUAAAAAUAAAAGAGAAAUUCAAGUUAAGAUAAGGGUAAGAUAGAUCCAGUACUAAAUAACCACACCGGUAAACCACCUGCGAUCGCUUUAAUCGCGAUCUAAUUUAGAUUUAUCGGUCGGUAUCGGAAGUCCGUCGUUAGGUCGAGUCACAUAACUCCGCACUACACACCCGUACUUAAAACUUUCGUCGCCCUGAUAAGGCUGAUGCAUAGACCGUUAUCCGUCUAAAUUAUCUUCAUAUUACCCAAAGAAAUAUUAAAGCCCGGCUCCU